rnacentral:rRNA from 1 species
AGUGAACGCCGGCGGUAGGCCUAACACAUGCAAGUCGAACGGCAGCACAGAGGAGCUUGCUCCUUGGGUGGCGAGUGGCGGAAGGGUGAGGAAUACAUCGGAAUCUACUUUUUCGUGGGGGAUAACGUAGGGAAACUUACGCUAAUACCGCAUACGACCUACGGGUGAAAGCAGGGGAUCUUCGGACCUUGCGCGAUUGAUUGAGCCGAUGUCGGAUUAGCUAGUUGGCGGGAUAAAGGCCCACCAAGGCGACGAUCCGUAUCUGGUCUGAGGGGAUGAUCAGCCAGACUGGAACUGAGACACGGUACAGACUCCGACGGGAGGCAGCAGUGGGGAAUAUUGGACAAUGUCCGCAAGCCUGAUCCAGCCAUACCGCGUGGGUGAAGAAGGCCUUCGGGUUGUAAAGCCCUUUUGUUGGGAAAGAAAUCCAGCCGGCUAAUACCUGGUUGGGAUGACGGUACCCAAAGAAUAAGCACCGGCUAACUUCGUGCCAGCAGCCGCCGUAA